AUUGAACGCUGGCGGCAUGCCUUACACAUGCAAGUCGAACGGUAACGGGCCUUCGGGUGCCGACGAGUGGCGAACGGGUGAGUAAUGUAUCGGAACGUACCUUUCAGUGGGGGAUAACGUAGCGAAAGUUACGCUAAUACCGCAUAUUCUGUGAGCAGGAAAGCAGGGGAUCGCAAGACCUUGCGCUGAUUGAGCGGCCGAUAUCAGAUUAGCUAGUUGGUGAGGUAAAGGCUCACCAAGGCGACGAUCUGUAGCGGGUCUGAGAGGAUGAUCCGCCACACUGGAACUGAGACACGGUCCAGACUCCUACGGGAGGCAGCAGUGGGGAAUUUUGGACAAUGGGGGCAACCCUGAUCCAGCCAUGCCGCGUGAGUGAAGAAGGCCUUCGGGUUGUAAAGCUCCUUCGGCCGGGAAGAAAUCGCAUGGGCUAAUACCCUGUGUGGAUGACGGUACCGGAAUAAGAAGCACCGGCUAACUACGUGCCAGCCGCCGCCGUAAGAC
rnacentral:rRNA from 1 species